UGAGGUAGUUGGAGAAAUUUUUCUCUUGAAGC
rnacentral:piRNA from 1 species